rnacentral:tRNA from 1 species
GCCUUUGUAGUGCAGUGGUCAACACGCUCGGCGCGCAUUCGAGAGGUCCUAGGUUCGAGUCCCGGCGAAGGCA